CAUGUACUCUCUCCGUUCGGAAUUACUCGUCUAAAAAAAUGUAUCUAGAUGUAUUUUAGUUGUAGAUACAUCCAUUUUUGUGACAAUUAAUUCCGAACGGAGGGAGUAGUAU
rfam:Triticum aestivum genome assembly, contig: Triticum_aestivum_CS42_TGACv1_scaffold_221503_3B